rnacentral:rRNA from 1 species
CGGGGUGCAGCAGGCGCGAAAACUUUACAAUGCUGGCAACAGCGAUAAGGGGACCUCGAGUGCCAGGAUACAAUCUUGGCUGUCGUGAUGCCUAAAAAGCAUUGCAUAGCAAGGGCCGGGCAAGACCGGUGCCAGCCGCCGCGGUAACACCGGCGGCUCGAGUGGUAACCGCUAUUAUUGGGUCUAAAGGGUCUGUAGCCGGCCGGAUAAGUCUCUUGGGAAAUCCAGCAGCUCAACUGUUGGGCUUUCAGGGGAUACUGUUUCGGCUCGAGGCCGGGAGAGGUGAGAGGUACUUCAGGGGUAGGGGUGAAAUCUUGUAAUCCUUGAAGGACCACCAGUGGCGAAGGCGUCUCACCAGAACGGUCCUGACGGCAAGGGACGAAAGCUAGGGGCACGAACCGGAUUAGAUACCCGGGUAGUCCUAGCCGUAAACGAUACUCGCUAGGUGUCGGCCACGGUGCGACCGUGGUCGGUGCCGUAGGGAAGCCGUGAAGCGAGCCACCUGGGAAGUACGGCCGCAAGGCUGAAACUUAAAGGAAUUGGCGGGGGAGCACAAGGGCGAAUGCGGCCGC